CGAAAUGCGAAUUAGCAAAGCAGAAGUGGUUUACUGUUUUCCAUCGUCACUGUUCAAUAAUUAUCUUUUCCCGAAACAAAUAUAAAUAGAGUAAUUAAUAAAUAGGCAAAAAAUAACUGAAAAUGAAUACCGGCGGCGGAGCAGGUGUUGCCGACGAGAACACGAGCAGCUCCUCCCUCAUGCAACUGAGCCACGAGGUGUGGCGGCGGUACCAGCAUCUCCUCGACAAAUCGACGCCGCUGGUGCUGUACCGGUGGAUCUUCCUGGCGGCGAUCGCGGCGGUAUUCGCGCUGCGCAUCUACUUCGUCCAGGGUUUCUACAUCAUCACCUACGGCCUAGGAAUCUACAUCCUGCAGCUUCUGAUCGCAUUCCUCUCGCCGCAGGUGGACCCCGAGAUCCAGGGGCUCACCGACGGCCCCGCCCUCCCCACGCGCGCCACUGAGGAGUUCCGCCCCUUUGUCCGCCGCCUACCUGAGUUUAAGUUCUGGCAUUCGCUUAUAAAGGCUUUUUGUGUUGCUCUAUUGUUGACAUUCUUCAGUGCCUUUGAUGUGCCCGUAUUUUGGCCAAUUCUUAUGUUUUACUGGUCAGUUCUGUUCUUUUUAACUAUGAGGAGGCAAAUCAUGCAUAUGAUCAAGUAUAAAUAUGUCCCUUUCACAUUUGGGAAGCAGCGUUAUGGGAAGAAGGCAGCUCCUACUGACGAGGCAAACACCAGAAGACCAUAGCUCUUAAGAUGAGAAAUAAACUUUAGCUUGGCAGGAGUUCUUCUUUGAAAUGCUCUAUCCUAAAAGAUAAGGGAAGGUAGUAGGGAGGUUGAUAUUAUUGGAGGGAUGGAAGGGGCCAUGUCAUUGAUGUCAUUGUAGAAAGGGGUGGCACACUCUUCUACCUUGCUAUUCCUACUUGUCAAGUCUCUGUACUAGCCUCCAUUUGGGUGCAUUAUUUCACCUUGGCUUGUCAUAUCAGAAUGUUCCAUAUUAUAUAAACUUCAGUAAUCAAAGACGUUUAGUCUUGCUAAUUGCCAUCUAAAAUAAUAUGCUGACUGCCAGUGCUAUGCAACCAAUACCAUGUAUGCUAUUAUGUAUGAGGGAUGUAUCUGGGCAUCUAGUCUCUUCCCAUACUGUCUACAGAGCAACCAUACUUACAUCAAUGGGAUGGUAAAAGCUUAAACUCAGAUACAUGAUGUAACAUCUUCUGGACAGAAAGGCACUUGAGUUUUUCUACGUCCUGGUGAUAAGCCUGUUGGCGACGGCAUUGUUUGAAGCCAUAUAUGUAAAUCCAGAUUGUGGGAAUAAACCAGCUAGGAAUAAGAUGAGGAUUGUACCCAAAAGAGCAGCACUCAGAAUGUGUAUGGGGCCUUUGAUGGAUGCUCUCACCACUAACUCAAGGAUUGGGUGGAGGACCACCAUUUAUUGGUCUCGUGCGACCGGCCCCAACUUCCCCUCUCUAGAAUUUGGAAUGUUGCUCAUCUCAAUUUUUAGCUCUCCAAAUUGUGUUUGUUUACUCCGUUUUUUUGUAUUCUAAUGCCUCACUUUGAUGCCUCUCUAAAAAUCAAUUAUUGGUUUAGGUCUUUAAGUGUCUCUAUCCUUCCUUCCGCAUGCAGCGCCGACAAUUUUAUCUAUCCUAGCUACUACAUCUUCAUCCCGGGGUUGUUGAAAUUUAGUUGAGUUCAACAUUUGAGUUGUUAUUCUGUAAUAUAGUUUGUGUUAUAUAUACAAAUUUGAACUUUAAAA